CCCGGGCCGGAAGGGCUCCUGCGCAGGUGUUUGUAGCCACUUUUAAGUUUCAUCAGCUAGUUCAUACUUGCGUGGAAAGAGUGGUCGUUUGCGCUGGGUCAUCACUGUGUAGUAUUGGGGAUACUUACGUGAGAAAAAAACUUAACGCUAGAGACGUUUACGCACUAGUGGAGAAGCCAGGAUUGUUGCCUUAGAGUUACAGUAGAUAAAAGUACCUGAGAGAACUGCGGGGACUCCCAACCUGGACGCCUGCGCCGGAGUAUUAAAUCCAGCUAGAGAAUGGCAUGUGCAAAGAUACAGAGCUUUUAGAAGUUGCCUGCAUUCCUUGGCCCCUUCCUCACAUCAUUCCAACCAACUUCCAUCCUUACAAUCGAUUACUUUCCUGUAAUAGCUACGGUCAAAUGGGCAACUGAAGAUGAUGAUGAAGAUGAUCUUGACACCGAGAAGCAGAAGACCAAUGAAGAUGACCAAACAGCAAAAAUGGAUAAGUUAAAAGAAGGUAAAAGAAGGCCACUCGUACUUGCUGUCUCAGUAUCUAAAGGUGGUCACCUUCCAGUAGAGAGGCCCACCCACUGCAAACAAUGCCACCGAAGGUGACAUGCACUUUCUACCACCCAUCCAAAACUGUAACGUGAAUCUGCAACAGGAGAGGAAAGAAGAACCAAAACUUCCAAGGCUUUGCAUUUUUUCUUAAAAGCAUUUUUUUUUUUUUGAGAUGUAGUCUCACUCUAUUGCCUGGAGUGCAGUGGUGCAAUCUCGGCUCACUGCAGCCUCUGCUUCCUGGGUUUAAGCAAUUCUCUGCCUCAGCCUCCCAAGUAGCUGGGAUUACAGGCGCAUGCCACCACACCCGUCU
rnacentral:antisense_RNA from 1 species